ACUAUACCAGCAAUGCUUACAGCCCUGUGCAAGAUGUUGCUGAUUCAUGUCGGACUGGUGCUGCAACAAAUGUUAUUUUUGGCCUUGCCUUGGGUUAUAAAUCAGUGAUCAUCCCCAUAUUUGCCAUAGCAGUCACUAUAUUUGUUAGCUUCAGCUUUGCUGGAAUGUAUGGUAUUGCAGUUGCUGCCCUAGGAAUGCUGAGCACUAUAGCCACUGGUUUGGCAAUUGAUGCAUAUGGUCCCAUCAGUGAUAAUGCAGGAGGCAUUGCUGAGAUGGCUGGAAUGAGCCACAGAAUCAGAGAGAGAACUGAUGCACUUGAUGCUGCAGGAAACACCACUGCAGCUAUUGGAAAGGGAUUUUCCAUUGGUUCUGCUGCUCUCGUGCCUUUGGCCUCUUUGGGGCAUUUGUCAGCCGAGCAGCAAUUUCCACUGUAGAUGUCUUGACACCUAAAGUAUUUAUUGGUUUGCUAGUCGGUGCCAUGCUUCCUUAUUGGUUCUCCGCCAUGACAAUAAAGAGUGUUGGAAGCGCUGCUCUUAAGAUGGUUGAGGAAGUGCGCAGGCAAUUCAACACCAUUCCUUGUCUCAUGGAAGGAACUGCCAAGCCUGACUACGCCACCUGUGUCAAGAUCUCUGCAGAUGCAUCGAUCAAGGAGAUGAUUUCACCUGGUGCUCUUGUCAUGCUCACUCCAUUGAUUGUUGGAAUCUUGUUUGGCAUCGAAACACUUUCUGGUGUGCUUGCAGGAUCUCUCAUCUCCGGUGUACAGAUUGCCAUCUCUGCAUCUAAUACAGGUGGUGCCUGGGAUAAUGCUAAGAAGUACAUUGAGGCCGGAGCCUCAGAACAUGUAAGAACCCUUGGCCCCAAGGGAUCUGAUGCACACAAGGCUGCUGUGAUUGGUGACACUGUUGGUGACCCUCUCAAGGACACAUCCGGACCAUCAUUGAACAUUCUUAUCAAGCUGAUGGCUAUCGAAUCGCUCGUGUUUGCUCCCUUCUUCGCCACUCACGGUGGUCUUCUCUUCAAGCUAUUUUAAAACGAAUGCCACUCCUAUAUCACAUGAGUGUCUCACAAAAUCUAUCGCUCCCUUUCUCUUCGUUUAACAACCUUUCCAGCAUUUUUCGUGUUUUUAGUCACUAGAAUGUGGGUUGUGGAAGGAGAGAUAUUCACGACAAUGAGUGUUGAUGGUAAGGGUGGAAUGUUUUUGCAGAAUUCAGAAGAACAUCAAUAUUCUUUCCUAGA